AAUUUGGCUUCUUUUGGAAGGGGGAGAGGAACCCAACUUCUUCUCUCAAGCUUCUCCAUCUCCAAACCCCACCCCAUCCUACCUCCAAACUGGCCAGCAAACAGGUUCCCUCUGCCAGGCGCUCACUACCGCUCACCCCCGCCCGGUCCCUUCGUGGAGAGCAGGGGACUCCCGCAAGGUGGUGAGUGCAGUUUCCCGAGGGCACUUGGUCUUCGGUGCUGAGAGCGACUUGGAGCAGAGUGUCCGGCGGAUACAGAAGUUGGGCAGCGCUCGCUGGGCAGUGAGGGACGCACGGAGAUGUGCUUACUGGCUUGCACCCCAGAAGAGGCACCCCACCACCCCUUUUCACCUCUUUGUCCCCAAACGCCAGAACCAGCGCUGGGGACCGGGGUCGGAUGCCUCUCUGGAGAAGCACCGGGCCCCCGGAGUUACUGGCCAGAUGGGCGCGGCCGCUAGAAUGGCCUGCUGAGUUCGGUGCAGAUCUGUGAUAUACCUUGCUUUCUGGACCACCUUGACAAGUGAGCACCUCUUGUAUUGACCACCCUCCUUGCCCUGUUGAUGAAUGGGGAAACAAAAAGGACAGGUCAAGCAGAAGGUCACAGUCCCGCAGUCAUGGAGAAGAGAUGUGUUCUCCAGGCAGCCUCUCUUGGCAGCUGUAUAUGUAAGAGACUGACCAUGAACUUGGUCAGGAAUGUUAAUAGCUGUCAGGGAAAUGAAGGGUACGCUGGUGCCAAAGGUAGCACCACCUACUCACUGACCAGAUUCCACAGGGAGUUUGAUGUUGUAUUGUAAUCAGGACUGUCUGUAGGGGCACACCAAGUAAGUUUCUAUUGAAUUCUAGAAAACUUGACCACUUUACUUAAGUUAAACAAGCAUUACCUUGAUAAACAUUUGUGACCAACUCUGAAGUGUUACUCAAAAAUUCCUCCUUUCUGCUCUUACUAAUUGGAGCCCCUGGAGGAAGGGCAGAGGAGAGAUUGGCAUCUUUUCUUAAGAUGCAAAUAUUCCUUAGAAGCCCAGAUUCCUUAAACUUCCAUUUUUUUUUUUU